rnacentral:tRNA from 1 species
UCCCCCGUCGUCUAACGGCAAGACUCCCGACUCUGGAUCGGGCGAUCGAGGUUCGAAUCCUCGCGAGGGAG